rnacentral:rRNA from 1 species
UACGUAGGGCGCAAGCGUUAUCCGGAAUUACUGGGCGUAAAGCGUGCGCAGGCGGUCUGUUAAGACCGAUGUGAAAUCCCCGGGCUUAACCUGGGAACUGCAUUGGUGACUGGCAGGCUUUGAGUGUGGCAGAGGGGGGUAGAAUUCCACGUGUAGCAGUGAAAUGCGUAGAGAUGUGGAGGAAUACCGAUGGCGAAAGGCAGCCCCCCUGGGCCAACACUGACGCUCAUGCACGAAAGCGUGGGGAGCAAACAGG